rnacentral:rRNA from 1 species
UACGGAGGGGGCUAGCGUUGUUCGGAAUUACUGGGCGUAAAGCGCACGCAGGCGGUCUGCUAAGUUUGGAGUGACAGUUGGAGGCUUAACUGCCAAAGUGCUUCGAAAACUGACAGACUUGAGGGCUUCAGAGGGACACGGAAUUCCGGGUGGAGUGGUGAAAUGCGUAGAGAUCCGGAGGAACACCAAAGGCGAAGGCAGUGUCCUGGGGAGUACCUGACGCUCAGGUGCGAAAGCCAGGGGAGCGAACGGG